GAUGAACGCUGGCGGUGUGCUUAACACAUGCAAGUCGAACGAUGAAGCCCAGCUUGCUGGGUGGAUUAGUGGCGAACGGGUGAGUAACACGUGAGUAACCUGCCCUUGACUCUGGGAUAAGCCUGGGAAACUGGGUCUAAUACUGGAUAUGACUUCUCAUCGCAUGGUGGGGGGUGGAAAGAUUUAUUGGUCUUGGAUGGACUCGCGGCCUAUCAGCUUGUUGGUGAGGUAAUGGCUCACCAAGGCGACGACGGGUAGCCGGCCUGAGAGGGUGACCGGCCACACUGGGACUGAGACACGGCCCAGACUCCUACGGGAGGCAGCAGUGGGGAAUAUUGCACAAUGGGCGCAAGCCUGAUGCAGCGACGCCGCGUGAGGGAUGACGGCCUUCGGGUUGUAAACCUCUUUCAGUAGGGAAGAAGCGAGAGUGACGGUACCUGCAGAAGAAGCGCCGGCUAACUACGUG
rnacentral:rRNA from 1 species